CUCUGCUCUCCAUUGUUGCACGUCACUCCCCAGACUCUGUUUUCCCCUUGGACUCUGUAUCGCUGCUUGACUCUGGACUGGACUCAGUAAGCCUCCUUCCCCUUUUGAUUUAACCUUGUUUUAUGUUGUAUUUAACCCCAGUUUUCAGGUCCGCUUUCUGUUGAUUGUCAGUUUAGUUUAGUUAAAUUUCCCUGCUGUUUUCCACCUGCUUCCUUAUUUAAGUAGUUGUUUUGUUUCCUUAUUAAAUCCUAUUUAAUCUUA